UGAAUACGAGACGCUAAGGCGUCGAAGUAGUGUAUGUCAUACUUCCAAGAAAAGCUUGCACUGUCAUAGGUAAAAAACGCCUGUACCAUAACCGACACAGGUGGGUAGGUAGAGUAUACUAAGGGGCGCGAGAUAACUCUCUCUAAGGAACUCGGCAAAAUAACUCCGUAACUUCGGGAGAAGGAGUGCCUUAUUCGUAAGGUUGCAAUAACAAGAUCCAAGCAACUGUUUAUCAAAAACACAGGUCUCCGCUAAGUCGUAAGACGAUGUAUGGGGGCUGACGCCUGCCCAGUGCCAGAAGGUUAAAGAAGUUGGUUAGCAAUUGCGAAGCUGAUAACUGAAGCCCUGGUGAACGGCGGCCGUAACUAUAACGGUCCUAUGGUAGCGAAAUUCCUUGUCGGGUAAGUUCCGACCCGCACGAAAGGCGUAAUGAUUUGGAUACUGUCUCGGAGAGGGGCUCGGUGAAAUAGACUUGUCUGUGAAGAUGCGGACUACCUGCACCAGGACAGAAAGACCCUAUGAAGCUUUACUGUAACUUGAAAUUGAAAUUGGACUUUGUUCGCGCAGUAUAGGUGGGAGGCGUUGAUUAUAAUCUUGUGGGAUUAUUGGAGCCAUCAGUGAGAUACCACUCUUGUAAUGUUAGAUUUCUAACUUUGAAUCAUUAUCUGGUCAAAGAACAGUUUCAGGCGGGCAGUUUGACUGGGGCGGUCGCCUCCUAAACGGUAACGGAGGCGUACAAAGGUUUCCUCUGAACGGUUAGAAAUCGUAUCUAGAGUGUAAAGGCAUAAGGAAGCUUGACUGUGAGACCUACAAGUCGAGCAGGGACGAAAGUCGGUCUUAGUGAUCUGACGGUACUGAGUGGAAAGGCCGUCACUCAACGGAUAAAAGUUACUCUAAGGAUAACAGGCUGAUCUCCCCCAAGAGUUCACAUCGACGGGGAGGUUUGGCACCUCGAUGUCGGCUCAUCGCAUCCUGGGGCGGUAGUACGUCCCAAGGGUUGGGCUGUUCGCCCAUGAAAGCGGUACGCGAGCUGGGUUCAGAACGUCGUGAGACAGUUCGGUCCAUAUCCGGUGUAGGCGUUAGAAUAUUGAGAGGAGCCUUCUUUAGUACGAGAGGACCGAGAAGGACAUACCUCUGGUGUACCAGUUAUCGUGCCAACGGUAAACGCUGGGUAGCUAUGUAUGGAGUGGAUAACCGCUGAAAGCAUCUAAGUGGGAAGCCCACCUCAAGAUAAGUA
rnacentral:rRNA from 1 species